UACAGAGGUCCCAAGCGUUGUUCGGAUUCACUGGGCGUAAAGGGUGCGUAGGUGGUGAGGUAAGUCGGAUGUGAAAGCUCGGAGCUCAACUCCGAAAUGGCAUUGGAAACUACCUUGCUCGAGGGUUGGAGGGGGGACUGAAAUACUUGGUGUAGCAGUGAAAUGCGUAGAUAUCAAGUGGAACACCAGUGGCGAAGGCGAGUCCCUGGACAACUCCUGACACUGAGGCACGAAAGCUAGGGGAGCAAACAGG
rnacentral:rRNA from 1 species